UUUUUGGAGAGUUUGAUCCUGGCUCAGAGCGAACGCUGGCGGCGUGCCUAACACAUGCAAGUCGAGCGAGAAAGGGGUGGCAACACCCUGAGUAAAGCGGCGAACGGGUGAGUAACGCGUGGGUAAUCUACCCUUUAGUCUGGGAUAACCUCUCGAAAGGGGGGCUAAUACCGGAUGAUGUCCUCAUGGGGCAUCCCAAGGGGAGCAAAGGGGGCGCCCGCAAGGAGCUCUCGCUAGAGGAGGAACCUGCGUCCGAUUAGCUAGUUGGUGGGGUAACGGCCCACCAAGGCGACGAUCGGUAGCCGGCCUGAGAGGGUGACCGGCCACACUGGGACUGAGACACGGCCCAGACUCCUACGGGAGGCAGCAGUGGGGAAUCUUGCGCAAUGGGCGAAAGCCUGACGCAGCGACGCCGUGUGGGGGACGAAGGCCUUCGGGUUGUAAACCCCUGUCGGGUGGGACGAAUCCCCCGAGGACGAAUACUCCUCGGGGUUGACGGUACCGCCGGAGGAAGCCCCGGCUAACUACGUGCCAGCAGCCGCGGUAAUACGUAGGGGGCGAGCGUUGCUCGGAUUUACUGGGCGUAAAGAGCGCGUAGGCGGCCAGGGAAGUCUGGUGUGAAAUCCCUCGGCUCAACCGAGGACCCGCAUUGGAGACUCCCUGGCUUGAGUCCAGGAGGGGAGGGUGGAAUUCCCGGUGUAGCGGUGAAAUGCGUAGAGAUCGGGAGGAACACCGGUGGCGAAGGCGGCCCUCUGGAAUGGUACUGACGCUGAGGCGCGAAAGCUGGGGGAGCAAACGGGAUUAGAUACCCCGGUAGUCCCAGCCGUAAACGAUGGGCGCUAGGUGUGGGAGGUAUUGAUCCCUUCCGUGCCGCAGCUAACGCAUUAAGCGCCCCGCCUGGGGAGUACGACCGCAAGGUUGAAACUCAAAGGAAUUGACGGGGGCCCGCACAAGCGGUGGAGCAUGUGGUUUAAUUCGACGCAACGCGAAGAACCUUACCAGGGUUUGACAUGCCGGUAGUACCGACCUGAAAGGGAAGGGAUCCCGCAAGGGAAGCCGGCACAGGUGGUGCAUGGCUGUCGUCAGCUCGUGUCGUGAGAUGUUGGGUUAAGUCCCGCAACGAGCGCAACCCUCACCCUCUGUUGCCAGCGGGUUAUGCCGGGCACUCUGAGGGAACUGCCCCGGUCAACGGGGAGGAAGGCGGGGACGACGUCAAGUCAUCAUGCCCCUUACGCCCUGGGCUACACACGUGCUACAAUGGCCGGUACAAAGGGCUGCAAACCCGCGAGGGGGAGCUAAUCCCAUAAAGCCGGUCUAAGUUCGGAUUGCAGGCUGCAACUCGCCUGCAUGAAGGAGGAAUCGCUAGUAAUCGCGCAUCAGCACGGCGCGGUGAAUACGUUCCCGGGCCUUGUACACACCGCCCGUCACACCACGAAAGCCGGCUGUACUCAAAGUCGCUGGGCUAACCCGCAAGGGAGGUAAGCGCCAAAGGUAUGGUCGGUGAUUGGGGUGAAGUCGUAACAAGGUAGCCGUAUCGGAAGGUGCGGCUGGAUCACCUCCUUU
rfam:Candidate division NC10 bacterium CSP1-5 XT15_C0002, whole genome shotgun sequence.